UACGUAGGGUGCAAGCGUUGUCCGGAAUUAUUGGGCGUAAAGAGCUCGUUGGCGGUCUGUCGCGUCGGCUGUGAAAACUCGGGGCUCAACCCCGAGCCUGCAGACGAUACGGGCAGACUAGAGUGCUGUAGGGGAGACUGGAAUUCCUGGUGUAGCGGUGAAAUGCGCAGAUAUCAGGAGGAACACCGGUGGCGAAGGCGGGUCUCUGGGCAGUAACUGACGCUGAGGAGCGAAAGCGUGGGGAGCGAACAGG
rnacentral:rRNA from 1 species